rnacentral:rRNA from 1 species
GACGAACGCUGGCGGCGUGCCUAAUACAUGCAAGUAGAACGCUGAAGGAGGAGCUUGCUUCUCUGGAUGAGUUGCGAACGGGUGAGUAACGCGUAGGUAACCUGCCUGGUAGCGGGGGAUAACUAUUGGAAACGAUAGCUAAUACCGCAUAAUAGUAGAUGUUGCAUGACAUUUGCUUAAAAGGUGCAAUUGCAUCACUACCAGAUGGACCUGCGUUGUAUUAGCUAGUUGGUGAGAUAACGGCUCACCAAGGCGACGAUACAUAGCCGACCUGAGAGGGUGAUCAGCCACACUGGGACUGAGACACGGCCCAGACUCCUACGGGAGGCAGCAGUAGGGAAUCUUCGGCAAUGGACGGAAGUCUGACCGAGCAACGCCGCGUGAGUGAAGAAGGUUUUCGGUUCGUAAAGCUCUGUUGUAAGAGAAGAACGAGUGUGAGAGUGGAAAGUUCACACUGUGACGGUAUCUUACCAGAAAGGCGG